UUCUCUUUGUACAAAGCAAUUUCAUCACUCACUCAAGGCACACUCACAAUGGCAAGCUAUUUCACAAAACUGAAGGAGCUAUGGGAUAAACUUUUAGUGUUGGUUCCUCUUCCUACAUGCAAGUGUUCUACUGCCUAAGAGUAUAAUAAAGUUGUCCAGCAACAAUGUCUAUUUCAAUUCCUUAUGGGACUUAACGCCACCUUUCACCAACCAAGAUCACAGAUACUCCUCAUGACACCAGUCCCUACUGUGUCUCAAGCUUAUUCAAUGAUAUGUCAGGAUAAGGAGCAGCGUAUGAUCUGUUCAUAGAUUCCUACAAAUCCACUUCACACUAUUGCAGCCUCCACUAGAGGUGGUCGUUCUGGUAGAGGCAGAGGUGGAGGUCGGUCUCAAGAAGAAUGUACCCAGUGCCAUAGACGGGGGCAUACUUGUGAUUAAUGUUAUAAGCUUGUUGGGUUUCCCUCCAACUUCAAAGGCAGAAAGGCACAAGCUGCUAACCUGAAUCAUGAACAGGACGAGCAAAAAGAAUCAAAAUCAAGCUCGACAAAUGGUCAACAGUCCAUAACUGAACAACAAUAUAAUCAAAUCUUACAAUUACUGAAGAAGGACUCCAAGGAUGAGACAUUAGGAGCAGCCAAUUAUAUCGAAGAACAUGUGUCUGACUUUUAGCCAAUUUAUGAGCAAUCCAAGAAAAUUAGACAUGGGAGCUGCUGUUCAUGUAGUGAGAUAUUUGAAAAACAGUCCAGGAUUGGGGAUAUUGUUGGCUGCAACUUCCAGAAGAUAUCUAAAGUGUUAUGUGGAUUCUGACUGGGCCACAUGUCAUGAUACAAGAAGAUCAUUAACAGGAUAUGUCAUCAAGUUUGGUGGGUCCCCCAUAUGUUGGAAGUCAAAGAAAUAACAUACCGUGUCAAGGUCUUUAGUAGAAGCAGAGUAUCGGGCUAUGGGUAUAGCUGUUUCAGAAAUAACUUUGUUGACUCAGAUGUUAGGAGAUCUGGGAGUGAAAGGACUUGAACCGGUUAAAGUAUAUUGUGAUAGCAAGGCUGCCAUCUAUAUUGCCACUGACCCUGUCUUCCAUGAACAGACAAAGCACAUCAAAAUUGACUGUCAUUUUGUUCGGGAGAAGUUGCAACAAGGGCUUAUCAACUUGGAACAUGUUAGCUCUAAAGAUCAGCUUGUUGAUGUGCUCACUAAAGCACUUGGAAGAGAAGAUCAUAGCAGGUUGAUAGGCAAAUUGGGAACCAUUAAUCUUUAUGGUCCCCAACUUGAUGGGGGGUGUUAGAGUUAUAGAUAUUGAGUUAAUGUAUUAGUGUUUUGUAGUCUGUAUAAGUUUGCGGUUUGGAUUGGGCCAGUGUAGGCCCAAAGCCCAAAUAGUCUUCUUAUUGUGUGUCAAAGCAAUGUACUGUGUAUAUAUAUUUUCUUGAGUUAUCAAUAAAGUGUGAGCUUUUCUCCCAGCA